rnacentral:rRNA from 1 species
AUUGAACGCUGGCGGCAUGCCUUACACAUGCAAGUCGAACGGCAGCAUGGAGAGCUUGCUCUCUGAUGGCGAGUGGCGAACGGGUGAGUAAAGCAUCGGAACGUACCGUGUAGUGGGGGAUAACGUAGCGAAAGUUACGCUAAUACCGCAUACGCACUGAGGUGGAAAGCAGGGGAUCGCAAGACCUUGCGCCAUACGAGCGGGCGAUUUCAGAUUAGCUAGUUGGUAGGGUAAAGGCCUAACAAGGCGACGAUCUGUAGCGGGUCUGAGAGGAUGAUCCGCCACACUGGGACUGAGACACGGCCCAGACUCCUACGGGAGGCAGCAGUGGGGAAUUUUGGACAAUGGGGGCAACCCUGAUCCAGCCAUACCGCGUGAGUGAAGAAGGCCUUCGGGUUGUAAAGCUCUUUCGGCCGGGAAGAAAUCGCACAGGCUAAUACUCUGUGUGGAUGACGGUACCGGCAUAAGAAGCACCGGCUAACUACGUGCCAGCAGCCGCCGCCG